ACUCCUACGGGAGGCAGCAGUGGGGAAUCUUGCGCAAUGGGCGAAAGCCUGACGCAGCAAUGCCGCGUGAGGGAAGACGGCCUUAGGGUUGUAAACCUCUUUCAGCAGGGACGAAAACAGACGGUACCUGCAGAAGAAGCCCCGGCUAACUACGUGCCAGCAGCCGCGGUAAU
rnacentral:rRNA from 1 species